rnacentral:rRNA from 1 species
UAAGCCAUGCAUGUCUAAGUUCAAAUGGCCUUUAAAGGUGAAACCGCGAACGGCUCAUUAUAACAGCUAUUAUAUACUUGAUUUUGAUGUCCUACGUGGAUAACUGUGGUAAUUCUAGAGCUAAUACAUGCACCAAAGCUCCGAUUUUCUGACGAGCGCAUCUAUUAGAUUAAAACCAAUCGGGUUUCGGCCCGUAAAUUGGUGACUCUGAAUAACUGUAGCUGAUCGCAUGGUCCAGAACCGGCGACGUGUCUAUCAAG